GACGGAGGGGGCAAGCGUUGUCCGGACUCACUGGGCGUAAAGGGUGCGUAGGCGGUUUGGUGCGUCGGCGCUGAAAUCCGUGGGCUUAACCCACGGGCGCGUGCCGAUACGACUUGACUUGAGGCUCGGAGAGGGUGGGAGAACUCCUGGUGUAGUGGUGAAAUGCGUAGAGAUCAGGGAAGAAUACCUGUGGCGCAAGC
rnacentral:rRNA from 1 species